rnacentral:lncRNA from 1 species
AUGUUAUUUAUUGGCUUUAUUCAUCUCAAUCCAGAUUCCUGGGAAGUCCCAUGGACUGAAAUUGAGGACUUAGGGGUUCCAUUCACAGAAGGGAAGGCAGAGUUACUGCUGCUGGAAGUUGUUUCUGAUAACUUGUGCUUCUUUCCAGUCAGAAUUUUGCAAAGGACCUGUAUUUUAGUUUGUCUCCUCCUCUUUCUUUUUAAAAUAUUUAUUGGAGAGGUAGAAUACAGACAGAGAGAUGGAGAGACAGAAAGGUCCUCCAUCUGCUGGUUCACUUCCCAAAUAGCCACAGCUGCCAUAGCUGGGCCAGUCCGAAGCCAGGAGGUUCUUCCAGGUCUCCCACAUGGUUGUAAGGGCGCUCUUCCACGGCUUUGACCAGCCAUGAGCAGCCAUGACCAGCCAUGAGCAGAGAGAGCUGGAUCAGAAGAGGAGCAGCCAGGACACGAACCAAUACCCAUAUAGGGACGCUGGUGCAGCAGGCCAGGGCUUAUCCCGCUACGCCACAGCGCCAGCCCCAUCCUCUCUGUUUUUAAUCUACAGAGUCCUGUGAGUAAAUUGUUAUCAGUCCCAUUCUACAGAUGUGGGUAGUAACCCCGGGAUGUAAAUUACUGUUUCCAAAGGGAUAUAAAUAAGUACUUGAACCUAAAAGUGUUUGAGGCUAGUACCUCUCAGCAGCUUGAGAGAAGUCUGAGCCUUCCAGUUUCCAGCCCAGAAAGGACAUUCAGAGCUUUCCAACGACUAUGUAAAGUACUUUGUUGAUCUUUAUGCUUCCUUUUAGUAUGAUGUUUUUGGAACUAGGGAAUUGAAUAAUUGAAUUUCCAUCAAAAGCAUAUUUUGGUAAUAUAAAGAAAAAAUUAGAAAUUGAGAAAUUUUGUGGACAUAACCAACAGACUAAGAAAAGUAUGUAGUUCUUUAAAAAUAAGCCUCAAAGAAAUGCAUUAGAGUGAUUCAAUACUAUCUUUCUUGAGUAUAUCCUCACCCAUCUAGCCUUUACAUGAACCUGCAAUUGCACCAUUGCAAAGCUGUUACUUGUCUUUGUCAUUACAUGCAAAGGAAUACUCUCAGUGGGUUCAUCUAGUUCUUCCAAACUGUAGAGUUCUUUGAAACUAAACAUUGAGACUUUAGCAUCCAGGAACACGAAGUAAAGUAAUUCUCACUGUUUUUCCCCGUAAAAUACUGCAAACGACAUAUCCAAUAAACAUUUCAUCUCUAGCA